rnacentral:rRNA from 1 species
AGCGAACGCUGGCGGCAGGCCUAACACAUGCAAGUCGAACGAACGCUUCGUAGUUAGUUGCGGUCGGGUGAGUAACACGUGGGAACGUGCCUUUUGGUUCGGAAUAACUCAGUGAAACUUGUGCUAAUACCGAAUGUGCCCUUCGGGGGAAAGAUUUAUCGCCAUUAGAGCGGCCCGCGUCUGAUUAGCUAGUUGGUGAGGUAACGGCUCACCAAGGCGACGUUCAGUAGCUGGUCUGAGAGGAUGACCAGCCACACUGGGACUGAGACACGGCCCAGACUCCUACGGGAGGCAGCAGUGGGGAAUCUAGCGCAAUGGGCGAAAGCCUGACGCAGCCAUGCCGGGUGAAUGAUGAAGGUCUUAGGAUUGUAAAAUUCUUUAACCGGGGACGAUAAUGACGGUACCCGGAGAAGAAGCCCCGGCUAACUUCGUG